UGGGGAAUAUUGGACAAUGGGCGCAAGCCUGAUCCAGCAAUGCCGCGUGUGUGAAGAAGGCCUUCGGGUUGUAAAGCACUUUUAUCAGGAGCGAAACGCUGUCGGCUAAUACCCGGCGGAACUGACGGUACCUGAGGAAUAAGCACCGGCUAACUUCGUGCCAGCAGCCGCGGUAAUACGAAGGGUGCAAGCGUUAAUCGGAAUUACUGGGCGUAAAGCGUGCGUAGGCGGUUUCUUAAGUCUGCUGUGAAAUCCCCGGGCUCAACCUGGGAAUGGCAGUGGAUACUGGGAGGCUAGAGUGUGUCAGAGGGUGGUGGAAUUCCCGGUGUAGCGGUGAAAUGCGUAGAGAUCGGGAGGAACAUCAGUGGCGAAGGCGGCCACCUGGGACAACACUGACGCUGAGGCACGAAAGCGUGAGGAGCAAACAGGAUUAGAUACCCUGGUAGUCCACGCCCUAAACGAUGCGAACUGGAUGUUGGUCUCAACUCGGAGAUCAGUGUCGAAGCUAACGCGUUAAGUUCGCCGCCUGGGGAGUACGGUCGCAAGACUGAAACUCAAAGGAAUUGACGGGGUCAUAGCUGUUUCCUG
rnacentral:rRNA from 1 species